GACGAACGCUGGCGGCGUGCUUAACACAUGCAAGUCGAACGGAAAGGCCCUGCUUUUGUGGGGUGCUCGAGUGGCGAACGGGUGAGUAACACGUGAGUAACCUGCCCUUGACUUUGGGAUAACUUCAGGAAACUGGGGCUCAUACCGGAUAGGAGCUCCUGCUGCAUGUUGGGGGUUGGAAAGUUUCGGCGGUUGGGGAUGGACUCGCGGCUUAUCAGCUUGUUGGUGGGGUAGUGGCUUACCAAGGGUUUGACGGGUAGCCGGCCUGAGAGGGUGACCGGCCACAUGGGGACUGAGAUACGGCCCAGAAGCCUACGGGAGGCAGCAGUGGGGAAUAUUGCACAAUGGGCGGAAGCCUGAUGCAGCAACGCCGCGUGCGGGAUGACGGCCUUCGGGUUGUAAACCGAUUUCGCCGGUGACGAAGCGUGAGUGACGGUAAUGGGUAAAGAAGCACCGGCUAACUACGUG
rnacentral:rRNA from 1 species